GGAGAAGUGGCCGAGUGGUCGAAGGCACACCCCUGCUAAGGGUGCAUACGAGCUUAAACUUGUAUCGAGGGUUCGAAUCCCUCCUUCUCCGCCA
rnacentral:tRNA from 1 species